ACGGAAGGCAGCAGUGGGGAAUAUUGGACAAUGGGGGAAACCCUGAUCCAGCGACGCCGCGUGAGUGAAGAAGUAUUUCGGUAUGUAAAGCUCUAUCAGCAAGGAAGAAAAUGACGGUACUUGACUAAGAAGCUCCGGCUAAAUACGUGCCAGCAGCCGCGGUAAUACGUAUGGUGCAAGCGUUAUCCGGAUUUACUGGGUGUAAAGGGUGCGUAGGUGGCAUGGCAAGUCAGAAGUGAAAUGCGGGGGCUCAACCCCUGAACUGCUUUUGAAACUGUCAAGCUAGAGUGCAGGAGAGGAAAGCGGAAUUCCUAGUGUAGCGGUGAAAUGCGUAGAUAUUAGGAGGAACACCAGUGGCGAAGGCGGCUUUCUGGACUGUAACUGACACUGAGGCACGAAAGCGUGGGGAGCAAACAGGAUUAGAUACCCUGGUA
rnacentral:rRNA from 1 species